rnacentral:rRNA from 1 species
CCUACGGGGGGCAGCAGUGAGGAAUAUUGGUCAAUGGGCGGGAGCCUGAACCAGCCAAGUCGCGUGAGGGAAGACGGUCCUAUGGAUUGUAAACCUCUUUAGGCGGGGAGCAAUGCCGGGCACGCGUGCCCGGAGGGAGAGUACCCGCAGAAUAAGCAUCGGCUAACUCCGUGCCAGCAGCCGCGGUAAUACGGAGGAUGCGAGUGUUAUCCGGCGUUAGUGGGUUUAAAGGGUGCGUAGGCGGAUUUUUAAGUCAGCGGUAAAAUGUCCGGGCUCAACCCGGGCCGGCCGUUGAAACUGGGGAGCUUGAGUGGGCGAGAAGUAUGCGGAAUGCGUGGUGUAGCGGUGAAAUGCAUAGAUAUCACGCAGAACUCCGAUUGCGAAGGCAGCAUACCGGCGCCCGACUGACGCUGAGGCACGAAAGCGUGGGGAUCGAACAGGAUUAGAUACCCGAGUAGUC